CAUCUACUUACUGAAGGAAUGCUAGCAGUCGUGAAGUAUAAAUUUAAUCAAAAUCGGUGUCUUUAGGUUUUCUGACACACUGAGUUUAAUUUCGGGGAUUGUCGAACGCGAAGCAAAUCACAUGCAGAUUAGAGAUUUACGAAAGGUUUACCUACUAUACUACUGGUCUCCGUCAUGGCCAGCCGGUUACGUAGUGACUUGUGUGGAUUACAAUGCCAGCUUUGAAUUAAAUUUAAGACGGCUUUCUAGAAGUACAGUCAGAGUCAUAGAAGGCCCUCUAUGACUCUGGUACAGUCUUUAUAAUAACUUGUAAGCCCCCGCCCCAACAGCUUAUUUUGUGAUUUUGGAAAUUGAAAUAGAAUCAAUUGCUCACCAACUUCUACGCCACAAGUCAUCUUAUCGGACUUUUAAAGACUGGAACACUGCAUUGCAGAGAUUCUGAAACAGCUUUAUGUUAGAAUCAAAGGUUGCUAUUUGCCCCCGUAUCUACUCGUUUACUGGUAAUAGUUUCCGAAAUGAAUGCAUAUUCAGACACGCCAUUUGGUCAUUGCAAAACUCAUCUCGAAUGCCAAUUCCAGCUGUGGCGGAGUAACUGACGUCCCUUUAAGAUCGUUGGUCAAAUUCGUCGUUGCAUAACACUUAAAUUUCUUUCGCAACCAAUUCCUAUUGCUGGUCACCGUGCAUCAAUCUGUCAACUUUGAUCAACAAUU